CGCGGGCGGGCGGAGGAACAGCUAACAACUUGCGAAAGAAGAAUUUAAGGACAACCGCACAGCACAAAUAUAGAAGCCGGGGGACCAUGUUCACAAGGUCAGGUAACCAUGUUUUUUGCAGCAGUGUGAUCGUGCUCUACUAGAACACAAGAAACAGAUGUCUUUGGAACAAGUACUCUUUCUUGGAAGAAGUUGAGAUGAUGCAAGUAGAGGCCGGGGGACAAGACUGCAUGUUCACUAAGUUGUGGACAUGCGCAUGACCUCCGGAUUUCAGUCUUUGGAACAGGAACUGAUCAAGCUAAAGGCAUGUGACAGAGCGACUUUUUCUUAGAAGAAGUGCAGAAGGCGGAAGUAUAGAGGCCGGGGGACAAGACUGCAUGUUCACUAAGGUGAGGUAACCAUUUUGUUGCAGCUGUGGGCAUGCUCAAGACCCCCGGAUUGCAAGAAUCGUUGGAACUCAAGAACUCCAGACCAAAGUACAGUUUGCAAGCGGAGUCGUUCGAUGGAUUGUGCAGAGUGAGUCAUAGCCAAUGGCUUGAAUUUUGUUAUUUACUUUUGAACCACUCUGGAAAAAUGUGCCAAAAAGUUUCCAAUUUUGACAUGUACUUGGAUUUUUGUUAUAUUUUUGGCCAGUCACUUAGGCCUUAUUGCAAAAUGCAAGCAUUUUGCCUGAUGCAAGAAACAAAUGGAACAAAAUAUUUAUUACUGCACAUCUGACUUUGAUUUUCAAACAACUUAAGCUUGAAAUGUGGUGGUAGUGGUUUUUUGACGUUUUUUUGGUUUUUAGUUUUACUCAAUUAAUUUCCUUGCCAACAUUCAAUUUUUGAAUGUUUGGGGGCCAAAAAAAGAAUAUUUAAUUUUAUUUUCAUAAACCACUGACUAUUUUCUUCUGAAAAGCUCCAAAAGUAAUUGAAAUUUUCCCAGAGUUGGUUCAGAACGUCAGAUAUAGUGUUUGUGAUUGUGGGGUUUGGUGGUGGUAUGUGUUUGUGAUUGUGGGGUUUGGUGGUGGUAUGUGUUUGUGUGGGGUGGUGGUUUCUCUACAGGUCGUCGGCUCAAAUUGAGCAUAUGUCAUCGGCUCAAAUUGAGCACAGCAAGAUUUACUACAGGACUAUGGGAUCACCUAUAUCCCGAUGUCCUCCAGGAUCAAGAUGGGAUGUGGGAUCUUCUUUAUCCCUUCAUCCUACAACGCAAGACCAGCAGGACUAUGGGAUCUUCUAUAUCCCUACGUCCAUCCAGGGGCGGAUCAUGGGUGGCAAUCAGCUCCUUGGAGAGCAAAAUGUCAACUUUCAUACUAGAAACAUUACUAAGGGUCAUUUACUCCUUGAUGGAGAGAAGCAAAAAGAGUUAGCAAGGAUAGAAACCAAUGUAUUGAAGAAAACAAGUCAGUUGCUGAUCAUUGCACCACCUAUCACCUCUUGUGAAAGUAUUCAUGUUUCAAACAUUUAGGUUUUGGGAUCUUGAAACCAAAUAUUGGAAAAUUACUUGGCCAAGUGAAGUAAUUCUGUCAAGUAAGGUUAAGGAACUUGCUCCCUGAUCCGUCCCUGCUGCAAGGCUCCACUAAAUAAAUUUAUCUUGUGCACCGCCUUUAGGGCAUAAACACGUACUUCCACAGGGACAAUCUUUUUUGAUAAAUGUUCAUCAUCUAUUAGUGAAAUGAUACAAAUUUCACUAAAUAAAUAGGUUUUUUUUUCUUAGUUCAGGGGAUCUCCUAUAUCCCUCUGAGAACUCAAGGCUAUGGGAUCUCCUAUAUCCCUAUGCCGUUAGGGCUUAGGUGGG